AAAAUAAAAAUGAGUCGGUAAUAAAAUUCGUUAAAAAAGGAAAUAAAGGAAGGAAGAAGUGUGCAUGCAAAUAUCUAUUUAUGGCACAACAAACCUUUUGUACUUUCGGUUUCAUAUUUAUGUUGUGCAGAUCUUAUGAAUGAUGCUCACUUCAAGUUUAGUCGCCACCGUGAUUCUAAUCAUUGCGCUGAUCGUUGCUAUCUUCGUUGUUGACGAAUCAUGGUUUUCUAUAUGGAUGGUAAAAGCACACGAUUUCACGAGAGAAAAUUUCGUUUUUGUGACGCCAUUUUUACCGAGGGUUGAGCUGAUAGAUGGAACAGCGACCUACAUAGGACUCUGUUUCCUGGCUGUUCUGUGCUUUCUCCUAUCUUGGGUUGCCUCUUUUUUGUUGGUAAAAAUCCUGAACCACGCUUGGACAAUUCUCAACAAAGUCGUUGAGAUUGUAAUUAGUAUUGUUGUGUUCUUCUUUUCUUCUGUGACGUCAGCAAUUGGGAUCCAGAUUAUAAAGUGCGCGAUAAUUCCCUUGACAGCUGUUAUAGUUUACCUCACAUGGGACACACUGAAAGAUUUAGCAGCGAAGUAUUUCUGAAAGAUGCUCCUGUUUCAGUUGGCAAAAGCACCAGCUCUUUCUGUGGCAGUGAAAAUGAGACUUUUUUUAAUUGCAGACCAACCAUGAUGUCAAAAUCAACGAUAUUGUACAUCAUUUAUUGAUAUUCAUUAUAUUUGCUUGCCUCAUACAUGUAGUUUUUAUCAAAUUUUAGCAAUAUAAACUCAAUAUGAAUUUGAAUCGUUCAAUGCGGUAUCGAUAUCAUCGAUGUAUCUAUAUAUGUUAUCGAUAUAUCGUAUCUGCUGAAAUUGUUUAUCUCAUAUCCGAGGUAAAAUUUAGCUGUUUCUCAGUUUAAAAUGCACACAAUUUGACGUUGAGUAAUUAAAAAAAUUAAUAAAAAACAUAAAGAAUACAAAAGUUCUUUCACCUGAAAGGUGGAAAGACUUAAAUAAAGAAAGAAAAUAGC